GGGGAAGUAGCCAUUCAUAGUGCAGUGCCGAGGCAGCAGGGAUAAUGUAGGCCAUAAGCUUGCUUGAAGAGAUGAGUCUUAAGAUUACUCUUGAAGGUCUUGAUGGCCCAGCCUAGGAUCAAAAUGAUGCAAUCAACCAGAGUUUGAGAUAUCAUCCAGUGUAAUAGUGCCCUUAUUUUACACAGGCAUUUCAAGUAUGGGCUUUCCCCGAAUGAAAGAGGGAAAGGAGAAGGCAUGAGGAGACGUCUUACUGCAUCUGUCAAAAUAGCAGUAGAGAGAGUACGGCUCUUCCUGACUGCACACACGGGCAGCCUGCAUUCUUUCUGACAAAAACACAAUUCAACUUCCACUUGAGAGAAGAAAAAAAAAAAAGAAGACAGGACAUUGCAAGUGGCCAAAACAAGCAGCUGUUAAACAUGCUUCUCCACCGGAAACGCACUCAGCAAAACUGUUUGUUAAUUCCUGUUAUUUCCUUCCAUUUUUAUAACCAAUUUUAUUUUUCCUGCAAACAACCUCACCUUAAAAACAAGGUUCAUGAACGCCACGAUACAUUAUGUGAUCAGCAAUGAAAGAGUCUGCAGGAUGGAAGCUUUGUGAUCAAAGUAAAAGCGUUUAUCGCAGG